rnacentral:misc_RNA from 1 species
GCUAGAAGCCUUGUAUGAGAAGUAUUUGUUGAUACAGCCUAGACUGAUAAGGUAUAGUUAUAAGUAUACGCAAGUAUGACCGAACUAAAUACGCGAUUCUCAAAUUUGUACAUUACAUUGAAGUGGAACGCUACGACUCGUAAAGUUGUCAUCUAUGACAUAAUCUCAAGAGCUUCCCUGGUUUGUCCUAGCAUAUUAAAUACCGUAGCAGCAAUAUGAGAUGGAGUAAGACCUGCUUCAGCCAGUUGGUCUGCUGGCAA